rnacentral:rRNA from 2 species
GUAAGCUACUAAGAGCGAAUGGUGGAUGCCUUGACUGGUAAAGGCGAUGAAGGACGUACUAGACUGCGAUAAGCUACGGGGAGCUGUCAAGAAGCUUUGAUCCGUAGAUUUCCGAAUGGGGCAACCCAAUGUAUAGAGAUAUACAUUACCUAUAUAGGAGCGAACGAGGGGAAUUGAAACAUCUUAGUACCCUCAGGAAAAGAAAUCAAUAGAGAUUGCGUCAGUAGCGGCGAGCGAAAGCGCAAGAGGGCAAACCCAGUGCUUGCACUGGGGGUUGUAGGACUGCAAUGUGCAAGAGGUGAGUUUAGCAGAACAUUCUGGAAAGUAUAGCCAUAGAGGGUGAUAGUCCCGUAUGCGAAAAACAAACCUUAGCUAGCAGUAUCCUGAGUAGGGCGGGACACGAGAAAUCCUGUCUGAAGCUGGGUCGACCACGAUCCAACCCUAAAUACUAAUACCAGAUCGAUAGUGCACAAGUACCGUGAGGGAAAGGUGAAAAGAACUGAGGUGAUCAGAGUGAAAUAGAACCUGAAACCAUUUGCUUACAAUCAUUCAGAGCACUAUGUAGCAAUACAGUGUGAUGGACUGCCUUUUGCAUAAUGAGCCUGCGAGUUGUGGUGUCUGGCAAGGUUAAGCAAACGCGAAGCCGUAGCGAAAGCGAGUCUGAAUAGGGCGCUUAGUCAGAUGCUGCAGACCCGAAACGAAGUGAUCUAUCCAUGAGCAAGUUGAAGCUAGUGUAAGAACUAGUGGAGGACUGAACCCAUAGGCGUUGAAAAGCCCCGGGAUGACUUGUGGAUAGGGGUGAAAGGCCAAUCAAACUUCGUGAUAGCUGGUUCUCUCCGAAAUAUAUUUAGGUAUAGCGUUGUGUCGUAAUAUAAGGGGGUAGAGCACUGAAUGGGCUAGGGCAUACACCAAUGUACCAAACCCUAUCAAACUCCGAAUACCUUAUAUGUAAUCACAGCAGUCAGGCGGCGAGUGAUAAAAUCCGUCGUCAAGAGGGAAACAACCCAGACUACCAGCUAAGGUCCCUAAAUCUUACUUAAGUGGAAAACGAUGUGAAGUUACUUAAACAACCAGGAGGUUGGCUUAGAAGCAGCCAUCCUUUAAAGAAAGCGUAAUAGCUCACUGGUCUAGUGAUUUUGCGCGGAAAAUAUAACGGGGCUAAAGUAAGUACCGAAGCUGUAGACUUGACUUUGUCAAGUGGUAGGAGAGCGUUCUAUUUGCGUCGAAGGUAUACCGGUAAGGAGUGCUGGAGCGAAUAGAAGUGAGCAUGCAGGCAUGAGUAGCGAUAAUUAAUGUGAGAAUCAUUAACGCCGUAAACCCAAGGUUUCCUACGCGAUGCUCGUCAUCGUAGGGUUAGUCGGGUCCUAAGUCGAGUCCGAAAGGGGUAGACGAUGGCAAAUUGGUUAAUAUUCCAAUACCAACAUUAGUGUGCGAUGGAAGGACGCUUAGGGCUAAGGGGGCUAGCGGAUGGAAGUGCUAGUCUAAGGUCGUAGGUGCUUAUACAGGCAAAUCCGUAUAAGAAUACACCGAGAACUGAAAGGCUUUUUGAAGUCUUCGGAUGGAUAGAAGAACCCCUGAUGCCGUCGAGCCAAGAAAAGUUUCUAAGUUUAGCUAAUGUUGCCCGUACCGUAAACCGACACAGGUGGGUGGGAUGAGUAUUCUAAGGCGCGUGGAAGAACUCUCUUUAAGGAACUCUGCAAAAUAGCACCGUAUCUUCGGUAUAAGGUGUGGUUCGCUUCGUAUUAGGAUUUACUCCGAAAGCGAAGAAACUUACAACAAAGAGUCCCUCCCGACUGUUUACCAAAAACACAGCACUCUGCUAACUCGUAAGAGGAUGUAUAGGGUGUGACGCCUGCCCGGUGCUCGAAGGUUAAUUGAUGGGGUUAGCAUUAGCGAAGCUCUUGAUCGAAGCCCGAGUAAACGGCGGCCGUAACUAUAACGGUCCUAAGGUAGCGAAAUUCCUUGUCGGUUAAAUACCGACCUGCAUGAAUGGCGUAACGAGAUGGGAGCUGUCUCAAAGAGGGAUCCAGUGAAAUUGUAGUGGAGGUGAAAAUUCCUCCUACCCGCGGCAAGACGGAAAGACCCCGUGGACCUUUACUACAGCUUGACACUGCUACUUGGAUAAGAAUGUGCAGGAUAGGUGGGAGGCUUUGAGUAUAUGACGCCAGUUGUAUAUGAGCCAUUGUUGAGAUACCACUCUUUCUUAUUUGGGUAGCUAACCAGCUUGAGUUAUCCUCAAGUGGGACAAUGUCUGGUGGGUAGUUUGACUGGGGCGGUCGCCUCCCAAAUAAUAACGGAGGCUUACAAAGGUUGGCUCAGAACGGUUGGAAAUCGUUCGUAGAGUAUAAAGGUAUAAGCCAGCUUAACUGCAAGACAUACAAGUCAAGCAGAGACGAAAGUCGGUCUUAGUGAUCCGGUGGUUCUGUGUGGAAGGGCCAUCGCUCAAAGGAUAAAAGGUACCCCGGGGAUAACAGGCUGAUCUCCCCCAAGAGCUCACAUCGACGGGGAGGUUUGGCACCUCGAUGUCGGCUCAUCGCAUCCUGGGGCUGGAGCAGGUCCCAAGGGUAUGGCUGUUCGCCAUUUAAAGCGGUACGCGAGCUGGGUUCAGAACGUCGUGAGACAGUUCGGUCCCUAUCUGCCGUGGGCGUAAGAAGAUUGAAGAGAUUUGACCCUAGUACGAGAGGACCGGGUUGAACAAACCACUGGUGUAGCUGUUGUUCUGCCAAGAGCAUCGCAGCGUAGCUAAGUUUGGAAAGGAUAAACGCUGAAAGCAUCUAAGCGUGAAGCCAACUCUAAGAUGAAUCUUCUCUAAGCUCUCUAGAAGACUACUAGUUUGAUAGGCUGGGUGUGUAAUGGAUGAAAGUCCUUUAGCUGACCAGUACUAAUAGAGCGUUUGGCUUAUCUUUA